rnacentral:tRNA from 1 species
GGGUGUGUAGUUCAAUUGGAUAGAGCAUUGGGCCUUUAACCCAUUGGUUGUAGGUUUGAAUCCUGCCACACCCACCA